GAUGAACGCUGGCGGCGUGCCUAAUACAUGCAAGUCGAGCGAACAGACGAGGAGCUGGCUCCUCUGACGUUAGCGGCGGACGGGUGAGUAACACGUGUAUAACCUACCUAUAAGACUGGGAUAACUUCGGGAAACCGGAGCUAAUGCCGGAUAAUAUAUUGAACUUCAUGGUUCAAUAGUUAAAGACGGUUUUUCUUUCACUUAUAGAUGGAUACGCGGCGGAUUCGCUAGUUGGUAAGGUAACGGCUUACCAAGGCUACGAUGGGUAUACGCCCUGAGAGGGUGAUCGGCCUAACUGGACCUGCGACACGGUCCGGACUACUACGAGAGGCACACGUAGGGAAUCCUCAGCAAUGGCCGAAGUCCUGAAGAAGCAACGCCGCCGGAAGGAUGAUGGUCCUCGGAUCGUAAAACUAUGUUAUUAGGGAAGAACAAAUGUGCAAGUACCUAUGCUCGUCUUGACGGUACCUAAUCAGAAAGCCACGGCUAACUACGUG
rnacentral:rRNA from 1 species